rnacentral:rRNA from 1 species
CAGUCGCCACGGGAAUACAGAGGGUGCAAGCGUUAAUCGGAAUUACUGGGCGUAAAGCGCGCGUAGGUGGUUUGUUAAGUUGAAUGUGAAAUCCCCGGGCUCAACCUGGGAACUGCAUCCAAAACUGGCAAGCUAGAGUAGGGCAGAGGGUGGUGGAAUUUCCUGUGUAGCGGUGAAAUGCGUAGAUAUAGGAAGGAACACCAGUGGCGAAGGCGACCACCUGGGCUCAUACUGACACUGAGGUGCGAAAGCGUGGGGAGCAAACAGGAUUAGAUACCCCCGUAGUCCCUGUCUCUUAUAU